rnacentral:pre_miRNA from 1 species
AAAUGCUUAUCUUUGACAGAUACGCGUAUUUCGACUACCACUUGCAGUCUUCUUCAGUAUCAGUUACUCGUAUCCACUGUGUUUGCAAGUGGUAGUCGAAAUACGCGUAUCUGUCAAAGAUAAGCAUUUA